rnacentral:misc_RNA from 1 species
AAGUCGUAACAAGGUUUCCAUGGGUGAACCUGCGCAAGGAUCAUGACGUAUCCAAACGCCGUCGUACUCGUACGUCCGUUAGAAAAAGCAGCAAUCCCUGGUAAAUCAUCGCCGAACAGUUUUCGAUUCAGGGACGUCUGCAAGGAGCGUGCAUGUUGUGCCCCAAGCAGUUAGUGUCUGAAAGUGUCACUCACGUUAGUGUCUGAAAGUGUCACUAACAUGUCGCAGUCACGAUCGUUGGAGGCCCACACGGCCGACGACGGGUCACCGGGUGCAAGCGGGAAACGCCGAAACCGAACAACUGUUAACAAUGGAUAUCUUGGUUUU